rnacentral:lncRNA from 1 species
CGCGCCGCGCCCCCUAGCCAUUCGCCUGCGGCCGGGCGCCCACCCGGGGCCUGGCGAGCCGUUGCGGUCACGCCCGGCCGGGGAUCCGCGGAGCCGGGGUGCGGAACGGCAGCGGCACAAAGGGUGGAGGGGUGGGGACGACGGGCGGGACGGUGGCAAAGACGACAGGAGCCGCCGGCAGGUCCGAGGCGUUAGGAGUGCGCGAGAGCCUCGGUGCGCACCCCCUGCCCGACUCCGCCCCGCGCCGUCCCAGGCCCGCCCGGAGCCGCCCGGAGCCGCCGCUGCAUCUUGGCCCGGCCCGCCUGCAGCUUCGCUAGUCGCCAGCACCGCGGGGUGGGGGCUGGCCACCGGCAACCAAUCAGGAGGAGUCUCCUAUUCGUUACGAGUCCUCACCGCGGAGAGCAGGCUGGCCCAUUGAUACUUUCCAUGGACAUUCUUUGAAUAUUAUUUUGCAAUUACCUUAAAGACUUUGAAUGUUUAAAAGCGUAUGACCGGAAACCGCAGGCUAGGAGCGGUGAGGUUUGAGGGCAUCUUACAGUACUUGCAUUCUCUUUAAGAUUCUCUCUCCCUUUCUUCGGGACCCGUAUCAUAAAUCCAAUUAUGUCCCCUAAAAGUCCGUGGUUUCACCCACCCCAACACACUUUCCUUAAAGGAAUUUUCAGACUCAAGAUUCACGUAGCUCAUUUUUUUUUAGGACACGCCAUGUGCUAGCACUGACAUACUCUGAGCCUAUCUAAAUCUGAGUAAAUGUUGCAAUACAGUCAGCGCAGGACUCGUGCCUAGAAUGUAGACAGAAUACCUGGGAAUCCAUAAGAAAAAAGGUGUUAAGGCCUGGGAGAAAAGUGUAUAAAAGAUUAACCAGACAGUUCACAGAGGAGGAUGUCCAAGUGACCCAAUAAACAUAUAACAAGGAAAUACGUCAGGAAAAUGCAAAUUAAACACACAACUAGAUACUACUACUGCUGUCAUUUGAAUCUUAAAUGUCUUCCGUAGGCCCGGGAACUUAGAGGCUUGAUUCCAGGGUGGUGCUGUUGAGAGGUAGGUCCUCCUGAGCGGUCAUUAUGUUCCCGGGGGUGUCCCUGAGGGAGUGUCUUCCUUGUUCUCUUUACUUGCCAACAAUGAUUUGAGUGGCUUUGUUCCACCGCAUGCUCCUGCCGUCACGAGCUGCUUUGCCACACAUCUGAAAAAGCAACAGGACCAAUGAUCGUGGACUGCAAUCUCCAAACCGAUGGACUAAAACAAACCUCUGCUCUUUAGAAACUGCUGUGUUAGUAUCUUUCCAUCACUGUGAUGAAAUACCUGUGGUAAAUCAGCUUAAAAGGAGGAAAGAUCUGUUUCAGCUCACGGUUUCAGAGGUUUC